GGCGGCGACGCGCCCGGCUCCUCUCAGCGGCGGCGGCCCAAAAAGCGGGGUCAGCGCUGGCGGCGGCGGCGCUGUUCCCCGCGCGGUCCGCGGAGCGGGGUCCGGGCUGCGCGACGUGGGGCGGCGGCGGCACUGCGGCCCUGGCCCGAGCCCGACCCCGGGUCCCCUCCUCGGCCGCCCCCCGUCCGGCCGCCCGCCCUCGGGCCGCCCCCCGGGCCCUCGGUCCCCUCCCCCGCUGGCGGGGCCCGGACAGAAGAUGGUGCAGAAGAAACCAGCCGAACUUCAGGGUUUCCACCGUUCGUUCAAGGGGCAGAACCCCUUCGAGCUGGCCUUCUCUCUAGACCAGCCUCACCACGGAGACUCUGACUUUGGCCUGCAGUGCUCAGCCCGCCCUGACAUGCCCACCAGCCAGCCCAUCGACAUCCCGGACGCCAAGAAGAGGAGCAAGAAGAAAAAGCGCGGCCGGGCCACUGACAGCUUCUCAGGCAGGUUUGAAGACGUCUACCAGCUGCAGGAGGAUGUGCUGGGGGAGGGCGCUCACGCCAGAGUGCAGACCUGCAUCAACCUGAUCACCAGCCCGGAGUACGCCGUCAAGAUCAUUGAGAAGCAGCCGGGCCACAUUCGGAGCAGGGUUUUCCGGGAGGUGGAGAUGCUCUACCAAUGCCAGGGACACAGGAACGUUCUAGAGCUGAUUGAGUUCUUUGAGGAGGAGGACCGCUUCUACCUGGUGUUUGAGAAGAUGCGGGGAGGCUCCAUCCUGAGCCACAUCCACAAGCGCCGGCACUUCAACGAGCUGGAGGCCAGCGUGGUGGUGCAGGACGUGGCCAGUGCCUUGGACUUUCUGCACAACAAAGGCAUCGCGCACAGGGACCUAAAGCCGGAAAACAUCCUGUGUGAGCACCCCAAUCAGGUCUCCCCCGUGAAGAUCUGUGAUUUCGACCUGGGCAGCGGCAUCAAACUCAACGGGGACUGCUCCCCUAUCUCCACCCCGGAGCUGCUCACCCCGUGCGGCUCGGCGGAGUACAUGGCCCCGGAGGUGGUGGAGGCCUUCAGCGAGGAGGCCAGCAUCUACGACAAGCGCUGCGACCUGUGGAGCCUGGGCGUCAUCUUGUACAUCUUGCUCAGCGGCUACCCGCCCUUCGUGGGUCGCUGUGGCAGCGACUGCGGCUGGGACCGCGGCGAGGCCUGCCCUGCCUGCCAGCUCCAGUUGGGUAGAGCCGACUCUACGGGUCCGGCUCCCAGCCCCCUCCACCCCAGAACAUGCUGUUUGAGAGCAUCCAGGAGGGCAAGUAUGAGUUCCCUGACAAGGACUGGGCCCACAUCUCCUGCGCUGCCAAAGACCUCAUCUCCAAGCUCCUCGUUCGCGACGCCAAGCAGAGACUGAGCGCCGCCCAGGUCCUGCAGCACCCCUGGGUUCAGGGGUGCGCCCCGGAGAACACCUUGCCCACUCCGAUGGUCCUGCAGAGGAACAGCUGUGCCAAAGACCUCACGUCCUUCGCGGCCGAGGCCAUCGCCAUGAACCGGCAGCUGGCCCAGCACGACGAGGACCUGGCUGAGGAGGAGGCGGCGGGGCAGGGCCAGCCCGUCCUGGUCCGAGCUACCUCACGCUGCCUGCAGCUGUCUCCACCCUCCCAGUCCAAGCUGGCGCAGCGGCGGCAAAGGGCCAGCCUGUCCUCGGCCCCUGUGGUCCUGGUGGGAGACCGUGCCUGACCCUCCCGUCUCCCCUUUGUACAUAGGUCGCCCAUCCCCCAAUCAAAUCUAAAGGUUUUUUAAGCUAUCGCCAGCCAGUGUCCUGCGGGCUGCCCCUCCUCUGGCUGGAUUCCCAGGCACUAAGCUCAGCUGAGGGGGGGGGCGUUUUAUAGAAGGUUUUUGCUUUUGGGUUUUUCUUUCCUGUUUCCACCCCUCCCCCUCAUUUUUUCCUUCGGACGGUUAAAAGCAAUGCAGACACCCGGGGAGGUGAGCAGAGGGUACGUGGCUGGGCUUGUCCCCUCCCCGGCCCCCAGCCCUGCUCACCUGUACUGUGAAGCCCCCAGGUCACCUGUACUGCCCGCCAUCUGCCCACGUGGCUUGCAGUGACUCAGGAGAGCAGACCCACAUCGUUCGCCAUCUUCCAGAGCUGGGGAGGGGCACAGGGCCCUGCCCGUGUUACCUCCCAGCCGCAGUAUUUCAGGGACAGGCUCGUCCCUCUGCCCCUCACCCUGACAGCACCCCUGGUGGCUUGGUUGGGGAGGGGAGGACCUGCCUGUCUCCAGAGGGGCCAGGCAGGCAGGUGGAGGGCAGCCCAGCCACCCACCCCAUGGGAUCCCCCAGCCCUUCACCCACGCCUGCCUUGUCCCCAUGAUAGUUGACAAUCGGGGCUUCCUGCAAGGCCUGUCUGUCCAGGACUCCUGGUGGCCAGAUUCGGCCUCCAACCUUGACCUUAAACUGCAGCUGACCCCAGGGGCUCGCCGCUGCCCCUCUCCACCGCUCCAGGGCCUGAGACAGCAGGACCCCCGCCCGGCCUGAAGCUGUUUCCACUGCAGCAGGCAGAGGGACUGGACGGGCACUGUCAGCCAAUGUGGGGGGUCCUGAAGACACCCCCUUGGGGCAUGCAAGUGCCCCUUCUCAGGGCUCAGUCUGACCGUGGCCACGUCCUGCCUCGUGCCGCCCCUCGGGCCUGACCUGGAAGCUCUGUCAGCUCCGUCCUUGUCCUUAGAGCAGGGCCCAGACCCCAGGGUCUGGCCGAAUCCCCACCCCCAGGGCAGCGUUUUUGGUCUGCCACCUUCAGGAAAAUGGCCGGGGCCUUGGCCUCCCUUCGGGCACCCAGGAAUGGAGGGGCUUGCUCAGUCCCCCCACCCUCCACGCUCCAACCCCUGGGGGCUGCGGAGCCUGCUGCCCCUGCCUGCGGGGGGGGACGUUCUAUGCAAUACAGGGUUCCACUUUAGAAGUGUGCGGGGCUGUGCUGCGGGGGCAGCUAGGGUCACCACCCGCCCUUCCCAGCCCAGUCCCCAAACUCCACGCCUGGGGCAGCCCCCUCUGGCUUCUAAAUCCGUGGUCGGGAUUCCUUGUGUUUAGUUUUUUAGUUGUUUUUUUUUAAGGAAAAAAAAAACAUCGGUUGACUUUGCUUCCCUGUUCUUGAAGAAUACUUGAAUGUCGGGGGGUCUGGGGGUGGGGGCCUCGGAGACUGUCUGCCUGGCCCUGCUGCCCCUCCCGAAUCUCGUACGAUGGUCACAGUCCGGUGGCCGUGGGGGUGCUCUGCCCUCCCUGGUCCCCACUGCCCAUAUCUGUGGACUGCCCCUUCCAAAGACCCCUGGGGGGUGGGGCAGGCCGCCCACCCCCCUUCCCCUUCAUGUCUCGCCCGUCAGUGAUUCUAUGUUUUGUAACGGGGGAUUCUCUGCCUUUUUGUAUAAAAGAACAAACAAACAGACCCCCGCCCGCUGCAGGCGCCCACAGCCAUUGCGUCUGAGCUGCUAGCAGCUUUUUUUUCCCCCCCCCCCCCCGAAGGUGGGACAGUCGCUUCCUCCUCCCUCCCCACGCCUGUCGCAUCCAUGUGCGACCUGGAGGACUGGUCAGAACCAUUACUGUGAACGAGUGAAGAUCCUGGAGAACCCUGGGCCCCAGGCCAGCUCCCAGCGCUGGGGGACGGUGAACCGCCAUGUGUUAAUGUUACGAUGUUUUUAAAAGACAAAAAAAAAAAAAAAAAAAAAACCUCAAAAGUUUUUUUUAAGUGGGGGAAAAACAUCCAAGCACUUUAAUUCCAUUGUACCAGGUGAACUGACGGAGCUCAGCAGUUUUCCUUUACACCAACUGUCAAUGCCGGAAUUUUGUAUUCUGUUUUGUAAAGAUUUAAUAAAAGUCAAAAAACCUGC